rfam:Gossypium arboreum cultivar AKA8401 contig_23085_1, whole genome shotgun sequence.
UAGGAAUUCUGUGGUAUGAGUAUAAUCAACAUUUUGAAGCAUUCCCACACCCCAUAAAAGCUUUCUCCUUCCAUCUGUCUAAAGACAACAAUCUAUCUUCUUAAUUG